UGGGAUUCCGCACGAGCGCACCCUCGCCUUUAGUUGCCUCACGUUUGGGUGGGCACUCUAAAGGAACUGCCGGUGACAAGCCGGAGGAAGGUGGGGAUGACGUCAAGUCCUCAUGGCCCUUAUGUCCUGGGCUACACACGUGCUACAAUGGCGGUGACAGUGGGAAGCCAGGUGGUGACACCGAGCCGAUCUCAAAAAGCCGUCUCAGUUCGGAUUGCACUCUGCAACUCGAGUGCAUGAAGGUGGAAUCGCUAGUAAUCGCGGAUCAGCAUGCCGCGGUGAAUACGUUCCCGGGA
rnacentral:rRNA from 1 species